GGGGAUGUGUUGGUUUUGAAAGGAGUAUCCCAUAAUAAACGAUGGCCACCACUCGAUGAGCGUACCGAGUAUAAAACAAUCGUUCACGCACAUAGUGCAAACUCUAAUAAAAUUGGUCUUCUUAAUGUUUUUGCUGCAAAGAGAGCUUUAGCUUUCGCGUAGUCUACAAAAAGAUUUCCUUAAGUCCUCCUCGUGGGGCAUAACCUGUUGCUUGAUCUCUCCUCAAUAGCAAGGCUGUAACGAUGGAGAUACCCAAGGUUCUGAUAGUAUCUUAAUCAGAGUAUAGGGUUCGUUUGAUGUCCCUCCCUUUGUCCUGGUACUCUACGACUCAAAACAAUUCCAAAGGUUUCAAUCAGCAUCCUAUAGUGGUACACUGUCCUUGUUAUGACUUCUUGACAUGGGUUCGAAUCCCAUCAUCUCCAGAU
rnacentral:tmRNA from 1 species